CACCUUUGCAGAAAAGGAACGGUGGUAAUCGUAAAAAGUGGUACCACCGUAUUUGUGCCCCAGGUCCACCAUUUUGUGCAUGUAUGCAUCCAGCUCUGCUCUUUCCCCCGGGUAUACUGAGCAGUAAACAUCCCUAUAGAUCCCAAAACCUAGUACAAAUUCAGAUAUGGUCAAUUUUUUGUUCAGCCUCGGAUCGCUUGCCCUUAGUACGACUGAUAUAUCCCCAUAUGCAAAUGUCCUGUUCUCUAGGACAUCCUGGGAGGCUAUAAGCAAUGAAACCAGGUUUACAUCCUUGCCUUCCAGAAUGUCCUUUUUAAGGUGAGAUGGGACCAUGUGCGAAGGAUUAAUGUCUUCAAUUAUUGAUAUGGAUUCCAAUGAAUUACCAGGUAUGUCAACGAGAGGGUGACUGGCAACAAUUGGGUUUGUAGCGGUC